rnacentral:rRNA from 2 species
GUUGGGUAGGGGAGCGUUCUGUAAGCCUGUGAAGGUGUGUCGUGAGGCAUGCUGGAGGUAUCAGAAGUGCGAAUGCUGACAUAAGUAACGAUAAAGCGGGUGAAAAGCCCGCUCGCCGGAAGACCAAGGGUUCCUGUCCAACGUUAAUCGGGGCAGGGUGAGUCGACCCCUAAGGCGAGGCCGAAAGGCGUAGUCGAUGGGAAACGGGUUAAUAUUCCCGUACUUGGUGUUACUGCGAAGGGGGGACGGAGAAGGCUAUGUUGGCCGGGCGACGGUUGUCCCGGUUUAAGCGUGUAGGUGUGUGUUCCAGGUAAAUCCGGUUCACUUUAACACUGAGGCGUGAUGACGAGGCACUACGGUGCUGAAGCAACAAAUGCCCUGCUUCCAGGAAAAGCCUCUAAGCAUCAGGUAACAUCAAAUCGUACCCCAAACCGACACAGGUGGUCAGGUAGAGAAUACCAAGGCGCUUGAGAGAACUCGGGUGAAGGAACUAGGCAAAAUGGUGCCGUAACUUCGGGAGAAGGCACGCUGACACGUAGGUGAAGUGAUUUACUCAUGGAGCUGAAGUCAGUCGAAGAUACCAGCUGGCUGCAACUGUUUAUUAAAAACACAGCACUGUGCAAACACGAAAGUGGACGUAUACGGUGUGACGCCUGCCCGGUGCCGGAAGGUUAAUUGAUGGGGUCAGCGCAAGCGAAGCUCCUGAUCGAAGCCCCGGUAAACGGCGGCCGUAACUAUAACGGUCCUAAGGUAGCGAAAUUCCUUGUCGGGUAAGUUCCGACCUGCACGAAUGGCGUAAUGAUGGCCAGGCUGUCUCCACCCGAGACUCAGUGAAAUUGAACUCGCUGUGAAGAUGCAGUGUACCCGCGGCAAGACGGAAAGACCCCGUGAACCUUUACUAUAGCUUGACACUGAACAUUGAGCCUUGAUGUGUAGGAUAGGUGGGAGGCUUUGAAGUGUGGACGCCAGUCUGCAUGGAGCCGACCUUGAAAUACCACCCUUUAAUGUUUGAUGUUCUAACGUGGACCCGUGAUCCGGGUUGCGGACAGUGUCUGGUGGGUAGUUUGACUGGGGCGGUCUCCUCCUAAAGAGUAACGGAGGAGCACGAAGGUUGGCUAAUCCUGGUCGGACAUCAGGAGGUUAGUGCAAUGGCAUAAGCCAGCUUGACUGCGAGCGUGACGGCGCGAGCAGGUGCGAAAGCAGGUCAUAGUGAUCCGGUGGUUCUGAAUGGAAGGGCCAUCGCUCAACGGAUAAAAGGUACUCCGGGGAUAACAGGCUGAUACCGCCCAAGAGUUCAUAUCGACGGCGGUGUUUGGCACCUCGAUGUCGGCUCAUCACAUCCUGGGGCUGAAGUAGGUCCCAAGGGUAUGGCUGUUCGCCAUUUAAAGUGGUACGCGAGCUGGGUUUAGAACGUCGUGAGACAGUUCGGUCCCUAUCUGCCGUGGGCGCUGGAGAACUGAGGGGGGCUGCUCCUAGUACGAGAGGACCGGAGUGGACGCAUCACUGGUGUUCGGGUUGUCAUGCCAAUGGCACUGCCCGGUAGCUAAAUGCGGAAGAGAUAAGUGCUGAAAGCAUCUAAGCACGAAACUUGCCCCGAGAUGAGUUCUCCCUGAGACUUAGAGUCUCCUGAAGGAACGUUGAAGACGACGACGUUGAUAGGCCGGGUGUGUAAGCGCAGCGAUGCGUUGAGCUAACCGGUACUAAUGAACCGUGAGGCUUAACCUUACAACGCCGAAG